rnacentral:rRNA from 1 species
AUACGUAGGGGGCAAGCGUUAUCCGGAUUUACUGGGUGUAAAGGGUGCGUAGGUGGCAUGGUAAGUUAGAUGUGAAAGCCCAAGGCUCAACCUUGGGAUUGCAUCUAAAACUGCCAAGCUAGAGUGCAGGAGAGGAAAGUAGAAUUCCUAGUGUAGCGGUGAGAUGCGUAGAUAUUAGGAGGAAUACCAGUAGCGAAGGCGGCUUUCUGGACUGUAACUGACACUGAGGCACGAAAGCGUGGGUAGCAAACAGGAUUAGAUACCCUGGUAGUCCACGCCGUAAACGAUGAAUGCUAGGUGUCGGCCCUCACGGGGGUCGGUGCCGCAGUUAACACAUUAAGCAUUCCACCUGGGGAGUACGUUCGCAAGAAUGAA